rnacentral:sRNA from 1 species
UGUAAUCCAGCUUCAGGCAGAGGGCCA